UACGUAGGGUGCAAGCGUUGUCCGGAAUUAUUGGGCGUAAAGAGCUCGUAGGCGGUCUGUCGCGUCUGCUGUGAAAAUCCAGGGCUCAACCCUGGACCUGCAGUGGGUACGGGCAGACUAGAGUGCGGUAGGGGAGAUCGGAAUUCCUGGUGUAGCGGUGAAAUGCGCAGAUAUCUGGAGGAAUACCGGUGGCGAAAGCGACUCUCUGGACGGCAACUGACGCUGAGGCACGAAAGCGUGGGGAGCAAACAGG
rnacentral:rRNA from 1 species